rnacentral:tRNA from 1 species
GGCAGUGUUGUGUAGUGGUUAGGGCACCACCUGUGACUCGGAGGUUGUGGGUUCGAUUCCCUGCUGUGGCA